AGUCCCGGGGUGUAAGCACGUUAGAUUGCAAAUCUGAAGGAGCAGGUUAAUAGCCUGCCGGGGCUU
rnacentral:tRNA from 1 species